GAAGCUUCCCCAGGCAGGACAGGCGACCCUAGGGGUGCUUCUGCCCCCACUCGCUGCGGCCAGCGGGGGCGCUCCCCUGGCCGCGCCGAGCCCUGGGGGCGCGGGUGGGUGGGAGCCUGCAAACGGCCGCCGACACUGCCCUCCCUGCCAGGUCCGACCGUCCAGGCUCCACAGAGGAGUGCUCAAGGGACUCGAUGCGCUGCGGCACUGAGGACUGACGAGCCACACCGGCUGGGAGUCCCAGGAGAGCAGGACCUCCGCUCAAGGUUUGUUUUCCCCACCGACCGGGGAGGAGCAGAAAGCGCAGGCGCAGAGGAGGCUUUCCUGGGGCUCACACGCCCAGUCCCUCCGCGUCCGCAGCCUUCGCCAGUCCCCGGCGCCUGCGCGCUGCUCCGCGGGGUUUGAGCCCCGGGCGCUGGGCUUCUUACCGGAAGUGCUUGAGCAGGUUCUGAGGUGCCAGGAGCUCGAAGAUCGGCCUUGGCUUCCCACUAGACACCCGGGAUCCGGAAUCCAGAGGCGAUCCGCGUCAGUGUCAGGCUUCCUUUGCCCUUCUUUGACCUAGACGUAGCUUACUCCGCCCCCCAGCCUCCUGCAUCCACCGAGCAGCCACCGUGCCUCGGCGUGACACAGCCGCCUGCCUCGGCGUGACACAGCCGCCUGCCUCGGACACUUCCGCCUGCUCCGGACACUUCCGCUCGCUGAGCAGCUAACCCGGCCUGCUGCCCGCGCUGCUGUACUCUGGGAGAACCUCAUUUUUUACUUCAGACUGGUUUCGCAACUCACCUGUCACCCCUAUUGGUUUUGCAACUCGUCUCUCACUCCCGGCCGCAACGAAAAUGCUCCCAACCCAUCACAGAGCUUCAGGUCCUCCCUGCUGACUGACCAUUCCCAACGGCUCUGCCUUUCUCCCUAGUUGCCUUAGUUCUGCUUUUCUAAGAGUGAAGACAAGAACAGCUGCCUCCCUUGUUCAAAAACAAAUCUAACUAAUCUGGAGAAAUAAAUGCCACUCGUGAUGCUUA